AAACAUAUCAGGGGGCAUUUCCUUGUCAAAUCCUUGAAUCUCUCCCAAGCUUCAUAAAGAGUCUUACCAUCCUGCUGUCUGAAUGUCCUUUACUUCCGUUCUUAGCCU